rnacentral:rRNA from 1 species
AACGAACGCUGGCGGCAUGCCUAACACAUGCAAGUCGAACGAUGCUUUCGGGCAUAGUGGCGCACGGGUGCGUAACGCGUGGGAAUCUGCCCGUGGGUUCGGAAUAACAGUGAGAAAUUGCUGCUAAUACCGGAUGAUGUCUUCGGACCAAAGAUUUAUCGCCCAGGGAUGAGCCCGCGUAGGUUUAGCUAGUUGGUGGGGUAAUGGCCUAUCAAGGCGACGAUCCUUAGCUGGUCUGAGAGGAUGCUCAGCCACACUGGGACUGAGACACGGCCCAGACUCCUACGGGAGGCAGCAGUGGGGAAUAUAGGACGAUGGGCGCAAGCCUGAUCCAGCAAUGCCGCGUGAGUGAUGAAGGCCUUAGGGUUGUAAAGCUGUUUUACCCGGGAUGAUAAUGACGGUACCGGGAGAAUAAGCACCGGCUAACUCCGUG